CUCUUAUUCCCUUUAACUCGUUUAUACUAAUUUAGCUGAAAGCAGCAAGUGACCCCAAAAGAAUAAUUGUGCAACUAGUGUAAACAUUUAAAAAUUGCAAGCAAGCAACACAAAAUGGAUUAAACAUUCAAAGAUUUUAGUACUUUUUGCUCCUAGGAAUAAGAGAAAAAAAUGAAAAGCGUUGUCCUAUUUCAGGCAUGGUAUACUCAGUUCCGAAAUAUCAUCAACUCGAACAGACUUGACCAUGUAACUCAGUUGGCAGAGCAUUGAAUGGCUAGUAUCCCGAAGGCCGCAGGUUCGAUUCCCACCGUGGCCAAACUAACUUUUCAGCUUGCCCGGUGUGGAUGCACACUCAGAGUAACAUCACAAACAUCAAUCAAUAAUUUGCUGCUGUUAUAUAUCAACCUUAUAUAUUUUUUUCUUACUAGGGAUUGUCAUUAAUAUAUGGAUUUAACAAAAGCUUCCCAGGAGAAGGCAAGUUGUCUAAACAAGUGGUAUUAUAUAUGUAAUCAUUAAUGGCAUUCUAAGAACUUACCAAACCAUGCAAGGGAUGGAGUUGCCGACUUGUGGUAUACAGCUUGUUUUGUACUAAUUUUUUACUAAUGGACUUGCUUGACAUGUUUGAUUUAGAAGUGACACUACAUACAUUUAAUACAUGCAGUAUAUUUUACUUGUAAAUAUUCUAC